GAUGAACGCUGGCUACAGGCUUAACACAUGCAAGUCGAGGGGAAACGACGGGGAAGCUUGCUUCCCCGGGCGUCGACCGGCGCACGGGUGAGUAACGCGUAUCCAACCUGCCUCUGACUGAGGGAUAACCCGUCGAAAGUCGGCCUAAUACCUCAUGGUAUCGUCUGCGGGCAUCCAACGCCGAUUAAAGAUUUCAUCGGUCAGGGAUGGGGAUGCGUCUGAUUAGCUUGUUGGCGGGGUAACGGCCCACCAAGGCUACGAUCAGUAGGGGUUCGGAGAGGAAGGUCCACCACAUUGGAACUGCGACACGGUCCAAACUCCGACGGGAGGCAGCAGUGAGGAAGAUUGGUGAAUGGGCGAGAGCCUGAACCAGCCAAGUAGCGUGCAGGAAGACGGCCCUAUGGGUUGUAAACUGCUUUUAUGCGGGGAUAAAGUGAGGGACGUGUCCCUCAUUGCAGGUACCGAAUGAAUAAGGACCGGCUAAUUCCGUG
rnacentral:rRNA from 1 species